CUCCUGAUGGUGUAGUUGGUUCAUCACGUUCGGCUGUAAUGUGCAAUUGUUACCGAAAGGUCCCUAGUUCGAUUCUGGGUCAGGAGA